UACAGAGGGUGCGAGCGUUAAUCGGAAUUACUGGGCGUAAAGCGUGCGUAGACGGUUAUUUAAGUCGGGUGUGAAAGCCCCGGGCUCAACCUGGGAAUUGCAUUCGAGACUGAAUAGCUAGGGUACGGUAGAGGGAAGCGGAAUUUCCGGUGUAGCGGUGAAAUGCGUAGAUAUUGGGAAGAACACCGGUGGCGAAGGCGGCGCUCUGGACCGAGACUGACGCUGAGGCGCGAAAGCGUGGGGAGCAAACAGG
rnacentral:rRNA from 1 species